GGGGGGGGGGGGGGGGGGGGGUGGGAGGGGGAAGGCGGGCGGGGGGGCGGCUGGUUGCGGGGGUAGUCGAGGGGCGAGGGGGUGGGUAAGACGUGGGGGAUCUGCCCUGCGCUGCGGGAUAAGCCUGGGAAACUGGGUCGAAUACCGGAUAGGACGAUGGUUUGGAUGCCAUUGUGGCAAGUUUUUUCGGUGUGGGAUGAGCUCGCGGCCUAUCCGCUUGUUGGUGGGGUGGUGGCCUACCAAGGCGUCGACGGGUAGCCGGCCUGAGAGGGUGUACGGCCACAUUGGGACUGAGAUACGGCCCAGACUCCUACGGGAGGCAGCAGUGGGGAAUAUUGCACAAUGGGCGCAAGCCUGAUGCAGCGACGCCGCGUGGGGGAUGACGGCCUUCGGGUUGUAAACUCCUUUCGCUAGGGACGAAGCGCAAGUGACGGUACCUGGAGAAGAAGCACCGGCUAACUACGUG
rnacentral:rRNA from 1 species